rnacentral:lncRNA from 1 species
UCCGUUCCAAAAUAGAUGACUCAACUUUGUACUAACUUAGUACAAAGUUGAGUCAUCUAUUUUGGAACGGAGGGAGUAAUUUACAGUACAUAUUUGUGGGAUAAAAAUGAAAUGGUUGCCCCUAAUUUAUCAUUCUUCCCUGCCCUCUUUGAUUGCUUUUCAUUGUCUCUUUGCGUUUACCCUAUUUCCGUGGCUCUCCUCUCUUUCUUCUCCCUGUACAAUUAUUUUGAUCGUUUCUGAAUCUUGAGAUUGCUUCAAUGCAUGUGAUCACUCUCCUCAGCCUUCCCCUUCUAAAUCUUAUAAUCCUAAUAUUGCAGGUGCUAUGUCGGAAAUCCAUUUUUUUUAUCCUCUGCCCCAAGGAAAAUCAAAGAAGAAGAAAGCCCUGAUAUUCUCUACUUAAAUUCAAAAAGAUUCAGAUACCGAAAGCAACAAGAAUGGAAUUCCAUCUAAAUCAAGAAUUUCUGCAGCCUAAUACUGUAAUACGAAAUUUUUUUGAAACGAGGCAAAGAUUUGCCAUUUUCAUUGAAUAAGGAGAAGAGUUUGUUACAUGACAGCCCCGCAAAAAGAGGGAAAGGAGCAAAGGUCUACUCUCGCGGCAUCAAAUUACGCAAAUGUCUGGCACCUGCCAGAGCCUAGAUAGAUGCCUCCUCCUUAAUAGUUUGCACGAUCACUGCCACCGGUGCCGCCUUGGUCCAGAACACACGUGCAUUUCGCUCCUUCCAAAUCUCCUAGCUAACAAAAUGGAGGAAGGAGGCCAAGGCUUUCCGCGGUUGCACUGUAAUACAAAUUAGUUUGCCCGUAUAAUUUCAUGGUACCAAUUAGUCAAUCAAAUGAGACUCACCGGGGAAUUUUCUUGCUAGUUGCGGUUGCUUUUGGCUGGCCGCAGACUCAUAGGUUCGGUCGUCCGCGCCGGCGCUGAUCCGAUGUGCCUUGUACGAGCCCUUCGCCGAACUGCCCCAGGCGGCUAGUCGUGCGCCGAAACGAUGGAGUCAGGUCCCCCUCGUGACCUCCUCAGCUUCCAAAAGGGCCAAAACGCGACUCAGCUCUUUGUUUCCGUGGUGGGCUGAGACAUGGGCUUCAAAGCUUGAGCUCAACUGUGGCAGUUUGUCUAUGAUACCCCGGUUCAAUGCCAACCGGGGCGCCCUCCUUUGACCCGUUGAGAUUGUUUCGGUGGUGGUUGCCCACCUUUGUCAUCACCACGAGGUAAAUGGUCGUCAUGAUGACAGGAUGUACUGCCACCGUCUGCUGCUUCUACCAUAGCCGUCAUUGCUCCACGGCACGUCGACGAUGUCACGACAGCUUGAGGACGCGUUUGUUCUGCAUGCGUUCAUCAGGCGUGGGUUGACCAGGGUCCAAAGUCCGAACCAAUCACACCGCCCCUGGGAGUCCGGGUCAUGUCUUAGUUUCAGUGAGGCUGAUCAUCCAAAAAGACCAGCCAAGGCAGAAAUAAUCUUUUUUUUUCUAGAAAUAACCGAUAAGCCUAAGAGAGGCCCAAGCUAAACUAGCCGUCUGCACGUCAAAUCUGGCCCACUCAAGUGUUCCGUUGAGCACUUUUCUAAGUGACUUUUAGGAGCAAUUUUCGUAACUUCACUCCUCUUUGAUUUUCCAGUCGGGUUUCUUCGAAAAAAUGGCUAUUGGAUUUUUUUUAAAGAUUAAAAAAGAAAGUAUUUCAUUUUUUAAAGAACUUAGAUAAUUUUCACAUUUUUAAAAAUAUUCAUGAAUUGAAAAUAUCCACAAAUUGUACAAAUGUUCAUGAAUUUUUUUAAAAAAAAAUCCUAAACUAUAAUGUUAUUGAAUUAAUAUUGUUCGUGUAUCUUAAAUGUUCAUGAAUUCCAAUUCUUUUUCCAAAUUUUAGUAAUAUUUCAUGAAUUUUAGGUAAAAAAGGGAAAAGAAAUAAUGGAAAAAGGGAAGAAAACCAUAGAAAAUGAGCUAUAAAUCAUAAUAGAACCGAAGAGUCAUCCACAUCCACUCCGCUUCCACCCCUAUAUGCGAGCACAAAACAAAUUCCUAUAGAAAGAGUUAUGUUUUUUUUAUAUUGUAACUUAUGUGAGAAAAUCAUUUUGUAAUUUCCACAUAGAUCGCAAAUGCCCAGAUUAUAUUUAUUUAGUUAUUUUGUGAACUUUAUAAAAAACAAGUUUCAAAACCUGAAAGUGUGACGGGUUCAUCAAUUUAUUUAGUUAUUUUGCGACCUUUACAAAAAACAAGUUUUGAAACCUGAAAGUGUGACUGGUAUGUAUGAAACGAACCAAGAAAGAUGUGCGUGGGGAUGGGAAAUCCGUGUGAUGCAGGGGGGAGUGGGGUGGAGGGCGUGGCCCCUGCUCGCCCCCUAGCUCCGGCCCCACGUUCAAUGCCAACCGGGGCGCCCUCCUUUGACCCGUUGAGAUUGUUCCGGUGGUGGUCGCCCACCUUUGUCAUCACCACGAGGUGAAUGGUCGUCAUGAUGACAGGAUGUACUGCCACCGUCUACUGCUUCUACCAUAGCCGCCAUUGCUCCACGACACGUCGAUGAUGUCACGACAGUUUGAGGACGCGUUUGUUCUGCAUGCGUUCAUCAGGCAUGGGUUGACCAGGGUCCGAAGUCCGAACCAACCACACCGCCCCUGGGAGUCCGGGUCAUGUCUUAGUUUCAGUGGGUUGAUCAUCCAAAAAGACCAGGCAAGGCAUCAUUAGCUUGGUCAGUCUUUUUCUGAUGCUUAAUGUGGAGUACUAUAUAGGCUCAUCAAACCACGCUUUUGAGCUUUUCCGGGUUUGAGAUUUGGUCUCUACUAUUCCACAAAUUCCCACGUAGUAUGCAAACAUUCGUCACUUUGUUUCCAACUAUUCUGAUUAAACCAUGGACCUUCAAAGUGAGUGACCAUCUAGAAAUAAUCUUUUUUUUUUUAGAAAUAACCGAUAAGCCUAAGAGAGGCCCAAGCUAAACUAGCCGUCUGCACGUCAAAUCUGGCCCACUUAGGUGUUCCGUUGAGCACUUUUCUACCCACUCAGGUGUUCCGUUGAGCACUUUUCUAAGUGACUUUUAGGAGCAAUUUUCGUAACUUCGCUCCUCUUUGAUUUUCCAGUCGGGUUUCUUCGAAAAAAUGGCUAUUAGAUUUUUUUUCAAAGAUUAAAAAAGAAAGUAUUUCAUUUUUAAAGAAUUUAGAUCAUGUUCACAUUUUUAAAAAUAUUCAUGACUUCAAAAUAUCCACAAAUUGUACAAAUGUUCAUGAAUUUUUUUAAAAAAAUCCUAAACUAUAAUGUUAUUGAAUUAAAAUUGUUCGUGUAUCUUAAAUGUUCAUGAAUUCCAUUUCCCCCCCCAAAUUUUAGUAAUAUUUCAUGAAUUUUAGGUAAAAAGGGAAAAGAAAUAAUGGAAAAAGGGAAGAAAACCAUAGAAAAUGAGCUAUAAAUCAUAAUAGAACCGAAGAGUCAUCCACAUCCAAUCCGUUUCCACCCCUAUAUGUGAGCACAAAAAAAAUUCUUAUAGAAAGAGUUAUGUAUUUUUAUAUUGUAACUUAUGUGAGAAAGUCAUUUUGUAAUUUCCACAUAGAUCGCAAAUGCCCAGAUUAUAUUUAUUUAGUUAUUUUGUGAACUUUAUAAAAAACAAGUUUCAAAACCUGAAAGUGUGAUGGGCUCAUCAAUUUAUUUAGUUAUUUUGCGACCUUUACAAAAAAUAAGUUUUGAAACCUGAAAGUGUGACUGGUAUGUAUGAAAGGAACCAAGCAAGAUGUGUGUGGGGAUGGGAAAUCCGUGUGAUGCAGGGGGAGUGGGGUGGAGGGCGUGGCCCCUGCUCGCCCCCUAGCUCCGGCCUCACGUUCAAUGCCAACCGGGGCGCCCUCCUUUGACCCGUUGAGAUUGUUCCAGUGGUGGUCGCCCACCUUUGUCAUCACCACGAGGUAAAUGGUCGUCAUGAUGACAGGAUGUACUGCCACCGUCUGUUGCUUCUACCAUAGCCGCCAUUGCUCCACGACACGUCGACGAUGUCACGACAGCUUGAGGACGCGUUUGUUCUGCAUGCGUUCAUCAGGCGUGGGUUGACCAGGGUCCGAAGUCCGAACCAACCACACCGCCCCUGGGAGUCCGGGUCAUGUCUUAGUUUCAGUGGGGCUGAUCAUCCAAAAAGACCAGCCAAGGCAUCAUUGGCUUGGUCAAUCUUUUUUUGAUUCUUAAUGUGGAGUACUAUAUAGGCUCAUAAAACCACGCUUUUUGAGCUUUUUCGGGUUUGGGAUUUGGUCUCUACUAUUCCACAAAUUCCCACGUGGUAUGCAAAUGUUCGUCACUUUGUUUCCAACUAUUCUGAUUAAACCAUGGACCUUGAAAGUGAGUGACCAUCUAGAAAUAAUCUUUUUUUUCUAGAAAUAACCGAUAAGACUAAGAGAGGCCCAAGCUAAACUAGCUGUCUGCACGUCAAAUCUGGCCCACUCAGGUGUUCCGUUGAGCACUUUUCUAAGUGACUUUUAGGAGCAAUUUUCGGAACUUCGCUCCUCUUUGAUUUUCCAGUUGGGUUUCUUCGAAAAAAUGGCUAUUGGAUUUUUUUUCAAAGAUUAAAAAAGAAAGUAUUUCAUUUUUUAAAGAAUUUAGAUAAUGUUCACAUUUUUUAAAAUAUUCAUGACUUCAAAAUAUCCACAAAUUGUAAAAAUGUUCAUGAUUUUUUAAAAAAAAUCCUAAACUAUAAUGUUAUUGAAUUAAAAUUGUUCAUGUAUCUUAAAUGUUCAUGAAUUCCAAAAAAUUUCCAAAUUUUAAUAAUAUUUCGUGAAUUUUAGGUAAAAAAGGGAAGAAAACCAUAGAAAAUGACCUAUAAAUCAUAAUAGAACCGUAGAGUCAUCUACAUCCAAUCCGUUUCCACCCCUAUAUGUGAGCACAAAAACAAAUUCCUAUAGAAAGAGUUAUGUAUUUUUUAUAUUGUAACUUAUGUGAGAAAGUCAUUUUGUAAUUUCCACAUAGAUCGCAAAUGCCCAGAUUAUAUUUAUUUAGUUAUUUUGUGAACUUUAUAAAAAACAAGUUCCAAAACCUGAAAGUGUGAUGGGUUCAUCAAUUUAUUUAGUUAUUUUGCGACCUUUACCAAAAACAAGUUUUGAAACCUGAAAGUGUGACUGGUAUGUAUGAAAGGAACCAAGCAAGAUGUGUGUGGGGAUGGGAAAUCCGUGUGAUGCGGAGGAUCUAAAUGUGUUCUAUGCUUCCACAACAAUCACCAUAUGGAACGGGACGAGGACUCCAUUUUGGGACUCUCCUUGUCUUCUUGGGCGCAAGCCUAAGGAAAUUGCUCCGCUCAUAUUCGAUGCCUCCUCGAGAAAGAAUUGGAUGGCGUGCGUGCCCUAAAGAACAAGGUGUGAAUUCUCAAGAUCAACCCUCUAAGUUGUCUCUGUUGAGCACACCCGAUAAUUCUUCACCCUUUGGAAGCUUGUCCACGAGACGCAACUUGAUGAGUCCGUCAAGGAUGACAUUGUGUGGAAGCAUACGACUAGUGGCACUAUUCGGCGGCCUCCGCUUACAAGACGCGAUUCCUUGGCAUGGCCUUCUCUCCUUUGGACGUGGUUGGCUAUUCAAGAUUGAAUUUGGACCGCCGAUAGGUUGAAAAAGUGGGGAUGGAUAAUUGCGGGCUUUGCCCUCUCUGCAAGAGAGUACAAGAGUGCAGCACACACCUCUUAUUUUAAUGUCGUUACACCUUGAGGCUUUGGGGAUUGGUCAUUGGAAAGCUAGGGCUUGAGGAUUUGGAGUGGCCUCUUGGCAUUUGGAGGGCUCCGUAAAGGAUUGGUGGGCAAGCUAGUAGAACCGGUGCCGGCACCAAGUAGAACGGGCUUCGCUUACCAUGCUUAUAUCGUGGGCCAUAUGAAACAAGCGCGCCGUCAACAAUUUUGCUAAACAACAUCAUGACCGAGGCAAAUUUUUGGGUCACCGCCAGAGCAAAGAAGUUAGGGUCGAUCAUGUCGCGAGAAUAAUAGUUCAUGUCGUGUUUUGGUGGUUUGUAACAAACUCUACGCUCUUCUUAAUUAACGGAUGAGACAAAUCUUUUGUCUCCGUUUUGAAAAAGAAAAGAGUUCUGAAUUCCGACAAACGACCAGAGUUCUGAAGAUGCUCUCCCUACUCAUACAUGGAGUUCAGAAUUCAGAUAUCAGAACCUUCGGAGUACUAGCAAGCUGCUCCACUGGGUGUCAGUCACGCCUGUUUUGUUCGGUCGUGUGCCGCCGGUCUCGGCGCAGGUUCUGUCGGGUUUGUCCCUGCCGCCGUCUUCCACUCCCACCACAGCCGCUGCCGCCGUGGCGUCCCCGCUCGUCGGACUCCACGUCGGCCUGACAAAGACGCCGCCGGAGGACGCGGUAAUUUUGUUCUCCGUUCACAAGGCGCCAACAGCCGGUCCCAAUCAUGAUGGACACAUCGCUCUGCUCGAUUCAGUUGCUCGGAAUGUUCUAGCCACGCACUGUGUUUAGUUCAGUUGACAUAAAGAAUUCCGAAUGUGGAAGCCUGGAGGCCAUCUCUCCCGGCCAUUUGGAGGCAUCUGCUUGGAAUUGGGGGAGACCUCCAUGCGUUGAAGUUGCCAGUAGGUUCGAGCUCGACGUCUCGCUCGUCAAUGGCGCCGUUCGUGCCCACAGCUCGGUAACAAAAUCGUAUAGAAAUGAAGAGUCGUUGUAGCCAUUGUCACUGCGCACAAUGCGAAAUGUUUACCCCUGCCUAUAAAUUGGCUCUCCUCACCAAGAACACCUCAUCUCACUCACGCUUGAUCCGUCGAUCUCUAGGUGAUAAUAACGAGAUUAGCUCAGCUUAGCUCGGGAGCAGCAAGUAGCUGCUGAUCAAGAGCCAUGGCUGCCAGUUCCGAGCUUGCGAUUUUGGUGGCAUGCGCGCUGCUGUUAGCUGCGGCGUGCGGAGGUGCCCCCGACGACGUGCCCGAGCUCGAGGUCGGGUACUACGAGGAGACGUGUCCCGAGGCGGAGUCCAUCGUGAGGGCCGCCGUGAGCGAGGCCGUCGCCGCGGACGCCGGCGUCGGCGCCGGCCUCAUCCGCCUCCUCUUCCACGACUGCUUCGUCCAGGUACACACACACAUUCAAGCAUGCGCAUGCACGCGCACUAGCAAAUACUCGCAUUGCUCACUGAGUUGCUGACACGUAUGCGCGUGUAAUGGUGCGCAGGGCUGCGACGCGUCGGUGCUGCUGGACCCGACGGCGUCGAACCCACGGCCGGAGAAGCUCGGCCCGCCCAACUUCCACAGCCUGCGGGGCUUCGAGGCGAUCGACGCGGCUAAGGCCGCCGUGGAGGAGGCGUGCCCCGGCACCGUCUCCUGCGCCGACAUCGUCGCCUUCGCCGCGCGCGACGCGUCCUACCUCCUGAGCGGCUACCGCGUCGACUUCACGAUGCCGGCGGGCCGCCUCGACGGCCGGCGCUCGAAUGCCUCAGACACGGUCCCGUCCCUCCCCCCGGCGUCCGCCAGCUUCACCGAGCUUGUCGACAAUUUCGCCAGGCAGGGCCUCGACGCGGAGGACAUGGUCGUGCUCUCCGGCGCGCACUCCGUCGGCCACGCCCGCUGCUCGACCUUCGCCGCGGGCCGCACGGCCGUCGACGCCGACGCCGACAUCGACCCGUCGUUCGCGAGGUCGCUGCGGAGGAGGUGCGCCCGGGCGGGGAACAGCACCGACGGAAAGGAGCAAGACGAGCCGACGGUGAGCCAGGACACGGUGACCCCGACGGAGCUGGACAGCCAGUACUACCGCAACGUGCUGAAGCGCAGGGUGCUGCUCGCCUCCGACGCGGCGCUCCUGGAGACCCCGGAGGCGGCGCGGAUGGUGCGGGACAGCGCGAGCGUCGGCGGGCGGUGGGAGAAGAAGUUCGCGAAGGCCAUGGUGAAGAUGGCCGGCAUCGGCGUGAAGAAGGCCGGCCGCCAUGCCGAGAUCAGGGCGAACUGCAGGGUCGUCAACUACUGAAAGCCAUUAACGUAUGGUGCCGUUGUGCAUGCGUCCAUUGUUCCAUAUAUGAUUUGUCCCGUUCCCGUCACCCUGUGAAGCAUUAUUUUCAGUUCUUUAUUUGUUGGUUUCGUUCUUGCGAGCUCGCCGUCUCGUCUGUUGAUUCGUUGAUUUGUCCACGCAAAAAUGAAUAAAAUAUAUUCUCUGGUGUUGAUGUUUUGAUUGUUUUCUCCGAAGACUUCUGAAUUCUGACGCUCGCUCUUUGGCAACGGACAACAAAGAACACUUCCGUGCGUCUCACGGGCAGGGCAGCCGCUCCAGUUGUCGCGAAAGGAAAUCUCAUGCGUGACAAGCUCCAAAAAAAAAGUGACAAAUAAUUAUAGUAUUAUUAUUUUGUUUCAAAGUUUGUGCUAGAUACUCUCGUUAGAGCAUCUCCGGCUGUUGGACCCCAGGGGACACGUAAAAUCGCCGUCGGGGAGCGAGCCCGCGCAAAAAGUCGGUCUGGGGACGAGUGGGUUCCCAGCCGCCGAUCCCAGGGCCGCCCCCAGACGCCGUUUAAGUUAAAAAAAAACAUUCGGCAAAGUUCAGCUAAACUCGGCUAAAAUUCGGCAAAUUUGGCAUAUAUUAGACAUGUUCGGCAAUUUACAUAGCAAAUUUAUCUAAAAAAAGGUCAAAACUACAACUAAGGGGCGAAGAAGUCGCUAAACGCGGCGUAGUCGCCGCCGUCGGCGGCGGCGGCCCUCUCCUCCUUGACGCGGCCGCCCUUGCUGGACCCCUGCCCAGCGUCGCCAUGGCAGACUGGUGGCGGUGGCGGCGCAUCGUCGUCGUUGCUGUCGUCGAGGACGACGAGCCUCCUUCGUCGCGGCCCCGACGGCGCUGUUCGUAGUGCUGCAGGGCGGCGCACUGGCGCUCCUUCUCCAUCUUGAGAUAGUCGCGUGCGCCCAUUUCAAGGCCGCCUCCUCGUUGAGCUCCACGUCGCCGUGCUCCGUCUUCACGGCGGGGAGCCCUGGCUCCGUUUUCACGGCCACGAGCCCCGGCUCUGUCUUUGGUUUGAUGAAGCGUGGAGGAGCCGACGAGGAGGCGCGCCGGCCGCCCUCGUUUAUGACGAUGCUGGCGCUGCGAGUGCACCGGCCGAACGGCGUCUCCGCUGCGGGCUCGGCCUUGACGCCGAGCAACGCCGGCGAGCCGGAGGAGUGAGAAGAAGAACGGUAGGAGGAGUGCGAGAAGGAAGUCGACGAGGAACCGAACCUCCUGGGCAUCCAUUGCCCUCCGCGCAGGCGGUGGGCCGAGGCGGUCGCCGUGGCAGGGUAUGCCAGCGGCGGUUCGUUGCCGCCCUCGAGGUACGAUAGCACGCCGUCGAGCGUGCGGCCCGGGGUGCCCCACCACACACGGCGCCCCUCGCUGUUCUUGACGCCGCCCACCACCGGCGCCCCGUUGGUGGACGCCAGCCUCGGCUCCUGGCGGCGCUGGAAGUACGCUGCCCUCGCCGUGUGGUUGUCGACAGCGUACUGGGGGAGGGCGAGCUGCUCCUCUAUGAGGGAGGCUCGCACGCGGUCGAUCUCGGCGACGAAGUAGGCGGGGCGUGCCUCGACGUUGGGCACCAGGGGAAUGGGCACUCCCCCAUUGCUGAGUCUCCACCCCGUCGGCCUGGCGCGCAUGUUCGGUGGCGCCGAGAUGUUCGCCUUAAACAGGAGCCACGCCUCCCACUCGUGAAGUGAGCGGCGGCCGAAGCCGUUGGCCGCCGCCGCGUUGCCGAGGAAACGCGCGGCCAUCGGGCUUGGGAGUGAGAGGGAGAGAGAGGGAAGAAGCGUCGGCGGCUGCGCACGGGAGAGGGAGAGCUCGGCGGCGGUCGAUGGACGGCUAGGGCUGGUGUGGCUAGAGGCGAGGGAGGCCACCGGCUUACAUAGCUGCGCCUGUGUGUACGCGUGGCGGGAAGGGAGGCGUCGCCGCGCCGCCCCGUGACACGCCGGCCGUGAGGAAUCAAUGGCAAGGCUGACCGGCGGCGGCAGCGCGGCAUCCUUGGCAUUGAUUCCCGCGGGAACCGAGGCGAUGAGGGCAACGAAGUGGCCGUCUCGCUGACUUGGCGGGCCCGCGGCUCUUUCGCGCCAAAACCACUCGCCCCGACGCCCCCAGGCGCCCCCAGCGCGCCGGGUUCGGCCUGGGUCCGCCGGCGCUGAUUUCGGCCCAAGCCGGCGAAAAACGGGCUCCUGGGAACGUGACUAGACCGUUUUUUUGACGCCGGCGCAAAAAAAUCGUCUGGGAGGCCAUGUUGGGGGCACGGCUGGAGAUGCUCUAAUCUUGUGCUCCCUCCGUCUCAUAAUAUAAGAACAUUUUCCAAGCUAAAACAGUUAAAAACGCUCUUAUAUUAUGGGACUGAAUAUUGUCUUUGGAGGCCGAGCUCGACGGAGCUCGGUUUUGAAAAAUUUGAAUUUCAUCAAAUUUCAUAUUUUCUACGCUUCAAAAAAUUCUGAAAAAAUACAGAUAUACAUGAAAGCAUAACACAUACGUGUGUAAAUUUUCAGGGCAAAAUACAAUGAAAUGAGGGUUGUGCAAAAAAGACAAAUUUGAGGCUUUUUAACACAUGAUACUAUUCAUCUUCCCAAGUCAUGAAUUUGUCUUUUUUGUACAGCUCGCAUUUCAACGUUUUUCAUCCUGAAAUUUUACACACAUACACAUAACAUCCUUGUUUACUACACCAUUUUUCAGAUUUUUUUAAACAGAAAAGUUUGAUUUUUGAUUUUUUUUAAAAAGGCCUCCAUGGAGGCCGAGAGCCAAACGUUCGUUCUCGACGGAGCGGGCACUAUUUUACUGAAGUGAAAGUGCCAGAGGCAAUUCAGAUACCAGUACAUUCUUUUACGGGAAUAUGGAUUUAUUCAUCAUAUGAUUAUGAUAGCACAUUCAUUUACAAGUUGUGAUGAAAUACAUCCCGGUGGAUCUGAAUCCCAGACAGCUGAUGUUCUAAACUAAAAGCACCGAGAGUGCGAAUAUAGGGGGGUAUUUUGUGUUUCGGGAAGUCUGAAGAAAAAGGAUUCUCAAUCGGUCUUCCCUUUUUACCUUAGAAAAAUAACUCAACCCUAGAAUGAAAUGCUUGUUAUGUACUCCCUCUGUAAACUAAUAUAAGAGCGUUUAGAUCACUAGAAUAGUGUCCUAAACACUCUUAUAUUAGUUUACGGAGGGAGUAAUAUUUACUUAGUUUAACCUGUAUAUGUUUUAAUUUUGCUCUUUAUCCAACUAGUCAUUUCUUUGCCAAAUUUGCCGAAGCUUGUGCUAUUUUCAAUCCAAUCGUGGAUAUUAUGCUCGUCAUACCUCCAAAAAGAUUUGGUUCUUGGGCCAAAUCCGUACCAACUCCUAAGAAGAGAUUUAAAGACAAAGACAAGCCAUGGCCUGGUUUGGGGGGAGCGACUACAAUAGAAGAAGGGCCACAGGUGCAAAAAUAGAAAAAGGAACCUGGUCCGUUGGAUUACAGAUCGAUGGUACAUGUUGAAGUGUGGGAUCUGUAUCCACUGUUAUCUAACUUUUGCAAAAAGGUCCCGGCAAUUCUGAUUGAUUUUUGCAGACGGGUCACCCCUCUCCCCCAUCCCUUAUCUCUUGCACACUGUGGCGGCGAUCUAGAUCCGGCGGGACGCCGUCGACUUUCGCAGUCCGUUCCCGGUACUCCGGCUCGCAAGUCGUCUGGAUCCGCCUCCCGGGCACCCUCGACGUUGCUCUCCACAUCAACCCAGCAGCCGCUGCCAAGGUCCACUCCCCCAGGGCACCACCUCGCCUUCAUCGCGCCGGACUACGACGGAUUUGUAGCCGGCCGGAAGACCCAUAGCACAGACGUGCCCGAGUGGAUGCAGCCUGACGGCCACACGUGCCAGGUCUUCUUCCUCGACCCUGACGGUGAGUGAUUCAUUCUCGGGUGAUGCUUAAUGUUCGUUGGAUUCCUAUUUUAUGAACACUAUUUACAGUUAUAAUUGUAAAUUGAACUUGCUAUCUCGGUGAUUUCUCUAUUCUUGGUCUAUACGUCCCACGGUCUAGCAGUGGCAUGUUGAUUAGUAGUUGUGGUAUUGUAUAUUGCUACUCGCUGAUGGCAAGUUUGGUGGAUCGAUGCUAGGCUCCUUUCCAAUCAGCUGAAGCGAUGGAUUUUUCUCUUGUUUUGGUUUCGUACUGAUUAUAGUGUUGGCCUACUCGGCUCUCCUGCUUUCGUUUGGCACUAUAUCCGAUACCUUCUCAGCUUGCCCAGUCCAGGGGUUACUCUAGACUUCAUCUAGUAUUAGACUGAAACACGAAUUGAGUUCGUUAGAUGUUUCUUUCUUUCUCUAUAGCAAGAAAUCGGAGUGGGGAGCACUUUUUUCUUCAAAACAAUAUUGUGAUCAUGCAUCUGAAAACACAUGAACAGAAAUAUUAAUCACUGCACAAGCUUGCUAUGCUUAUACUAGAUUUUCGAGCAGUUCUGUAUAUUGAAAUCUCAUCCUCUUCUCGGAUAUUGUACACGGGAACAAACUAAUCUCAUCUACCUGUUAAAUUACCUGCAUGUGAAGUGCUUGUACGCACAGGACUGAAAUUCGUUAGACUUGCAGUAGGUGCCACUUCACUGAUUUAUGAUAGUUCACUAUCUAUUUGUAAUGUCAUUGAAACUAAAAUCAAGAUAGUUUUCGUUUAGUGAGACAAUUGUAUUAGCUUUUUGGUCGUACUCAUUCGGCUUUUAUGACACUACGACUGUAAAAAGAACAAUUGCAAUUUUUUUACCUUUUGUAUAUAGAAAAGAAGACUCUCUUUCUGUGUAUCUUUUUAAUUUGCAACAUUAACAUUGCAAUCUUGGAAUUGGUGCUGAUUUUCUCAAUUUCUGUUGUCCGUAUGCUGGAUAGAUUGAAGCUCGUCGAGAAGAAAAGAAGACCUGGAAUUCAUCAAAAAGUCGCACGCAAAUGCAGCAUUUGUAAGGAACUGGUGCUCCAUGAUGCAAGGACAUGCUCUAAGAAACAAAUGACACAACAGUAGAGGUUUGUGCUUCUUGCUUUGUAGACUACCUAUUUUUUUGCAUUGCUAUUACUGCAUAAUACUAUAUGUUUCAAGAUGAGUCGUAUUUGUUUGGUGUGAACCAAUCAAGCUUAGAUACGAUUCAUUUAGCUGAUAUAUAUAUUCUUUAUGCCACGGCCUAGUGGAGUAUUAGAACAAAAAUUAUUGAGCUCUUUUCAAUAAAAAGUACUAUAGUAGAAGCUGUUAUGUGGACGGACAUAUAUCGUUCCUACUUCACAAUGAGAACGUAAUUUUCCUAUUCCUUUCCUUGUAAUGUAAAAUAUAUUUUUUCCUUUGUAUUUGUAGAUGCAUGAUGCUCUGACAACAGGAAAUAACAAGACUACAGAUGGAUCGAAGAAGCUUUUAUUCAAGUCUCCCCUUUCUGACAAUUGAGAGAAGUUCUAUGCAGGAUAAAUAUAACUCUGUUCUUGAUCAUGCAUCUGUACUUGUCUGUGCUCAACUGAAUCGUGUUUGCUUGGUGUGGUCUCUCCCAGCAAAGAAGUUUGAUGAGCAAGUAGUGGAACUGGAGGGAAAUGCUAGAGCUUUUCUGUUAUGUACCGUCAAGAUAGUAGAUCUUAUCGUUUUAAAUAGCAAUGCCUGUUGAGUGAUGAUCAUAUUAGUCCUUAAUACUUUGUCUUGCUGGCCAUGUACUAAAAAUAGUGCUACCAUGUCUCAUCAAGAUAUGUAUGCUUGUGAUAUGCUCAAUCUGGGAUUGUCCAGUCUGAUGUUUAGUUAUGCUUCAAAGGGUGGCUUAAUUUGAUCCAUGUACUCACAUAUUUGUGAUACAUACUGUCAUAUUUUGCACUGACAAUUGUAUCCAGCUUCUUUUUGCAUAAUUGGUGAUGUAGU